rnacentral:tRNA from 2 species
GGCAAUAGCUCAGUUGGUAGAGCAUCAGCUUCCCAAGCUGAGGGUCGCGAGUUCGAGCCUCGUUUGCC